AUCAAAGGUAAGUGAAUAAGUCGCUCUGGAUAAGAGCGUCUGCUAAAUGACGCAAA
rfam:Salmo salar isolate Sally breed double haploid chromosome ssa12, whole genome shotgun sequence.